rnacentral:rRNA from 1 species
GACGAACGCUGGCGGCGUGCCUAAUACAUGCAAGUAGAACGCACAGUUUAUACCGUAGCUUGCUACACCAUAGACGGUGAGUUGCGAACGGGGGAGUAACGCGUAGGUAACCUGUCUGGUGGCUGGGGAUAACUAUUGGUAACGAUAGCUAAUACCGCAUGAUACUUAUUAUUGCAUGGUAAUUUAUUGAAAGAUGCUAUUGCAUCACUACUUGUUGGCUCUGCGGUGGAUUAGCUAGUAGGCGAGGUAACGGCUCAUCUAGGCGAGGAUACAUAGCCGACCGGAGAGGGUGAGCAGCCAGACUGGGACUGAGACACGCCCCAGACGCCUACGGGAGGCAGCCGUAGGGAUACGUGGGCAAGGGGUGGAAGUCUGAGCAAGAAACGCCGCGUGAGGGAGGAAGAAUUUCGGAUCGUAAAGCUCUGUUGUAAGGGAAGAACGGGUGUGAGAGUGGAAAGUUCACACUGUGACGGUAUCUGACCAGAAAGCAACGGCUAACUACGUG